GGGUUGUGAGGUUAAGCGACUAAGCGUACACGGUGGAUGCCCUGGCAGUCAGAGGCGAUGAAGGACGUGCUAAUCUGCGAAAAGCGUCGGUAAGGUGAUAUGAACCGUUAUAACCGGCGAUGUCCGAAUGGGGAAACCCAGUGUGAUUCGUCACACUAUCGUUAACUGAAUACAUAGGUUAACGAGGCGAACCGGGGGAACUGAAACAUCUAAGUACCCCGAGGAAAAGAAAUCAACCGAGAUUCCCCCAGUAGCGGCGAGCGAACGGGGAGCAGCCCAGAGUCUGAAUCAGCUUGUGUGUUAGUGGAACGGUCUGGAAAGUCCGACGGUACAGGGUGAUAGUCCCGUACACCAAAAUGCACAGGCUGUGAACUCGAAGAGUAGGGCGGGACACGUGGUAUCCUGUCUGAAUAUGGGGGGACCAUCCUCCAAGGCUAAAUACUCCUGACUGACCGAUAGUGAACCAGUACCGUGAGGGAAAGGCGAAAAGAACCCCGGCGAGGGGAGUGAAAAAGAACCUGAAACCGUGUACGUACAAGCAGUGGGAGCACCUUCGGGUGUGACUGCGUACCUUUUGUAUAAUGGGUCAGCGACUUAUAUUCUGUAGCAAGGUUAACCGUAUAGGGGAGCCGCAGGGAAACCGAGUCUUAACUGGGCGUUAAGUUGCAGGGUAUAGACCCGAAACCCGGUGAUCUAGCCAUGGGCAGGUUGAAGGUUGGGUAACACUAACUGGAGGACCGAACCGACUAAUGUUGAAAAAUUAGCGGAUGACUUGUGGCUGGGGGUGAAAGGCCAAUCAAACCGGGAGAUAGCUGGUUCUCCCCGAAAGCUAUUUAGGUAGCGCCUCGUGAACUCAUCUUCGGGGUAGAGCACUGUUUCGGCUAGGGGGUCAUCCCGACUUACCAACCCGAUGCAAACUACGAAUACCGAAGAAUGUUAUCACGGGAGACACACGGCGGGUGCUAACGUCCGUCGUGAAGAGGGAAACAACCCAGACCGCCAGCUAAGGUCCCAAAGUCAUGGUUAAGUGGGAAACGAUGUGGGAAGGCACAGACAGCCAGGAUGUUGGCUUAGAAGCAGCCAUCAUUUAAAGAAAGCGUAAUAGCUCACUGGUCGAGUCGGCCUGCGCGGAAGAUGUAACGGGGCUAAACCAUGCACCGAAGCUGCGGCAGCGACACUAUGUGUUGUUGGGUAGGGGAGCGUUCUGUAAGCCUGCGAAGGUGACCUGUGAGGGUUGCUGGAGGUAUCAGAAGUGCGAAUGCUGACAUAAGUAACGAUAAAGCGGGUGAAAAGCCCGCUCGCCGGAAGACCAAGGGUUCCUGUCCAACGUUAAUCGGGGCAGGGUGAGUCGACCCCUAAGGCGAGGCCGAAAGGCGUAGUCGAUGGGAAACAGGUUAAUAUUCCUGUACUUGGUGUUACUGCGAAGGGGGGACGGAGAAGGCUAUGUUAGCCGGGCGACGGUUGUCCCGGUUUAAGCAUGUAGGCUGGUUAUCCAGGCAAAUCCGGAUAAUCAAGGCUGAGGUGUGAUGACGAGGCACUACGGUGCUGAAGUAACAAAUGCCCUGCUUCCAGGAAAAGCCUCUAAGCAUCAGGUAACAUCAAAUCGUACCCCAAACCGACACAGGUGGUCAGGUAGAGAAUACCAAGGCGCUUGAGAGAACUCGGGUGAAGGAACUAGGCAAAAUGGUGCCGUAACUUCGGGAGAAGGCACGCUGGUGUGUAGGUGAAGUCCCUGCGGAUGGAGCUGAGACCAGUCGAAGAUACCAGCUGGCUGCAACUGUUUAUUAAAAACACAGCACUGUGCAAACACGAAAGUGGACGUAUACGGUGUGACGCCUGCCCGGUGCCGGAAGGUUAAUUGAUGGGGUUAUCCGUAAGGAGAAGCUCUUGAUCGAAGCCCCGGUAAACGGCGGCCGUAACUAUAACGGUCCUAAGGUAGCGAAAUUCCUUGUCGGGUAAGUUCCGACCUGCACGAAUGGCGUAAUGAUGGCCAGGCUGUCUCCACCCGAGACUCAGUGAAAUUGAACUCGCUGUGAAGAUGCAGUGUACCCGCGGCAAGACGGAAAGACCCCGUGAACCUUUACUAUAGCUUGACACUGAACAUUGAGCCUUGAUGUGUAGGAUAGGUGGGAGGCUUUGAAGCGUGGACGCCAGUCUGCGUGGAGCCAACCUUGAAAUACCACCCUUUAAUGUUUGAUGUUCUAACGUUGGCCCCUGACCGGGGUUGCGGACAGUGUCUGGUGGGUAGUUUGACUGGGGCGGUCUCCUCCCAAAGCGUAACGGAGGAGCACGAAGGUUAGCUAAUCCUGGUCGGACAUCAGGAGGUUAGUGCAAUGGCAUAAGCUAGCUUGACUGCGAGCGUGACGGCGCGAGCAGGUGCGAAAGCAGGUCAUAGUGAUCCGGUGGUUCUGAAUGGAAGGGCCAUCGCUCAACGGAUAAAAGGUACUCCGGGGAUAACAGGCUGAUACCGCCCAAGAGUUCAUAUCGACGGCGGUGUUUGGCACCUCGAUGUCGGCUCAUCACAUCCUGGGGCUGAAGUAGGUCCCAAGGGUAUGGCUGUUCGCCAUUUAAAGUGGUACGCGAGCUGGGUUUAGAACGUCGUGAGACAGUUCGGUCCCUAUCUGCCGUGGGCGCUGGAGAAUUGAGGGGGGCUGCUCCUAGUACGAGAGGACCGGAGUGGACGCAUCACUGGUGUUCGGGUUGUCAUGCCAAUGGCACUGCCCGGUAGCUAAAUGCGGAAGAGAUAAGUGCUGAAAGCAUCUAAGCACGAAACUUGCCCCGAGAUGAGUUCUCCCUGAGACUUUAAGUCUCCUGAAGGAACGUUGAAGACGACGACGUUGAUAGGCCGGGUGUGUAAGCGCAGCGAUGCGUUGAGCUAACCGGUACUAAUGAACCGUGAGGCUUAACCUUACAACGCCGAAG
rnacentral:rRNA from 1 species